UGGGGAAUAUUGCGCAAUGGGGGAAACCCUGACGCAGCAACGCCGCGUGAGUGAGGAAGGACUUCGGUCUGUAAAGCUCUGUUAAUGUGGAAAAAUGGUUAGUGGUCUAAUAGGCCAUUGAUUUGAUGGUACACAUAGAGGAAGCACCGGCUAACUUCGUGCCAGCAGCCGCGGUAAUACGAAGGGUGCAAGCGUUGUUCGGAUUUAUUGGGCGUAAAGCGCACGUAGGUGGACUUAUAAGUCAGAUGUGAAAUCUCGGGGCUCAACCUCGAAACUGCGUCUGAAACUGCAAGUCUAGAAUCUUGGAGGGGGCAGGGGAAUUUCACAUGUAGGGGUAAAAUCCGUAGAUAUGUGAAGGAACACCAGAGGCGAAGGCGCCUGCCUGGACAAGUAUUGACAC
rnacentral:rRNA from 1 species